UACAGAGGGUGCGAGCGUUAAUCGGAAUUACUGGGCGUAAAGCGCACGUAGGCGGCUUGGUAUGUCGGGUGUGAAAUCCCCGGGCUCAACCUGGGAACUGCAUCCGAAACUGCCUUGCUAGAGUAUGGGAGAGGGAAGUGGAAUUCCCGGUGUAGCGGUGAAAUGCGCAGAUAUCGGGAGGAACACCAGUGGCGAAGGCGGCACUCUGGGCCGGUACUGACGCUGAGGAGCGAAAGCGUGGGGAGCGAACAGG
rnacentral:rRNA from 1 species